rnacentral:rRNA from 1 species
CGGGACCUCAGGUCAGGCGGGGCU